rnacentral:lncRNA from 1 species
GAUAAUGGUGGGAGAUGGGCGCGGCUAACCGCAUACUCCUUCAUUGUAAAUAUUCGUAUAUAUAUUUGUUUUAGGAAAAAGGAAGACACCUGCCCGCUGCGUUCCACUGGCCGGCCGGCCGGCGAAAGCACUGCUUGCAGUGUCCGGUUGUCCCCAUCUGCACUGUUACUGUACCCCCAAUAAUAUAGGGUCUGUUUGGUUGUAUGGCUUAAGCUAAUCCGGCUAGGAUUUAGAGCCAGGCCAGACUAAGCCUGUCUUGUCUUCUACUAGUACAUUCGCUCAUGUUUAGUUGUAUGUAUAAGUGGAGCCUGGUUUGCUUUUGCUGUGUUUAGUUUGGUUGCAUAUAUGGGUGGGUGGCAUUACGUCCUCUUCCCAAGCGGUGAGCCAUCGGCUCGUCACCUCCUUUCUUCUCUAUUCUUCUCGCUUCCGCCACCGUGAGAUCCACCGGCCGUGGGCAUCGACCGAGACCGAGCAGGAGCCGUGCGCCUGAGGUCCGCCGCUGUAGGAUCAAAGCAUACCGUAGGCGUAGACGGUUUUAAUCACUAGGAUGACAACUAGCAAUUCAAUCUCUAUUAAGAUAAAAUGCUCGAAGUAAAUUGCAUUAAAAAAUUAAGCAAAGAAUUAACCGUGCACGAGACAACAAUUUUUCCUGAAGUGUCAAUGACUUGCCGGUAAUCCCUAGCCCAUGUUGCGGUGUAUUCAGUGCUUUCAACCGCUCCUCUAUCAAGAAUCAAUCUUGAUCUUGAGCCGGCUUGAAUCAAUGAGCCUCUCCAAACCUAAAGUUGCUCUUCGUCACUCCAGCGAGGUGAGCAUAAAAACCUCUCACAAAACAAACCGGAGCACCUCCACAAUCUUCUUGAAGGGCUCAACGGUUUCACCUUCUCCAAACCGUCUAGGAGACGGAAACCUCCGAUAGUAAAAAGUCGAUGACGCUUAAUUGAAGACUCCUUAGUGUCACGAAGCUCAAACACUUAGAUGGAAUGUAACAGGAUGCUCUCGUACUCUUAAGAAUGCAACCACUAAGCAAACUGAGUGAGAGAGAGAGGAGGGAGCUGGCUCUUUUAUGACAAGGAAGCUUUCAAAU